AGUGAACGCUGGCGGCAGGCCUAAUACAUGCAAGUCGAACGGCAGCACAGCAGAGCUUGCUCUGUGGGUGGCGGGUGGCGGACGGGUGAGGAAUACAUGGGAAUCUGCCCAGUCGUGGGGGAUAACGUAGGGAAACUUACGCUAAUACCGCAUGCGCCCUUCGGGGAAAGCCGGGGGACCUUCGGGCCUGGCGCGAUUGGAUGAGCCCAUGUCGGAUUAGCUAGUUGGCGGGGUAAUGGCCACCAAGGCGACGAUCCGUAGCUGGUCUGAGAGGAUGAUCAGCCACACUGGAACUGAGACACGGUCCAGACUCCUACGGGAGGCAGCAGUAGGGAAUAUUGGACAAUGGGCGCAAGCCUGAUCCAGCCAUGCCGCGUGAGUGAAGAAGGCCCUCGGGUUGUAAA
rnacentral:rRNA from 1 species